rnacentral:rRNA from 1 species
GACGAACGCUGGCGGCGUGCCUAAUACAUGCAAGUAGAACGCUGAAGAGAGGUGCUUGCUCUUCUUGGAUGAGUUGCGAACGGGUGAGUAACGCGUAGGUAACCUGCCUUGUAGCGGGGGAUAACUAUUGGAAACGAUAGCUAAUACCGCAUAACAAUGGAUGACACAUGUCAUUUAUUUGAAAGGGGCAAUUGCUCCACUACAAGAUGGACCUGCGUUGUAUUAGCUAGUAGGUGAGGUAAUGGCUCACCUAGGCGACGAUACAUAGCCGACCUGAGAGGGUGAUCGGCCACACUGGGACUGAGACACGGCCCAGACUCCUACGGGAGGCAGCAGUAGGGAAUCUUCGGCAAUGGGGGCAACCCUGACCGAGCAACGCCGCGUGAGUGAAGAAGGUUUUCGGAUCGUAAAGCUCUGUUGUAAGUCAAGAACGGGUGUGAGAGUGGAAAGUUCACACUGUGACGGUAGCUUACCAGAAAGGGACGGCUAACUACGUG